rnacentral:rRNA from 1 species
AUCUUGGGCAAUGGGGGAAACCCUGACCCAGCGACGCCGCGUGGGGGAUGAAGGCCUUCGGGUCGUAAACCCCUGUUAGGUGGGACGAACAUCUCUCUGUAAACAGCUGGGAGAUUUGACGGUACCACUAGAGAAAGCCCCGGCUAACUCCGUGCCAGCAGCCGCGGUAAUACGGGGGGGGCUAGUGUUGUUCGGAAUUACUGGGCGUAAAGGGCGCGCAGGCGGCUUGGCAAGUCGAGUGUGAAAUCCCUUGGCUUAACUGAGGAAUGGCGCUCGAAACUACCUCGCUAGAGGGCGGGAGAGGGAAGUGGAACUCUCGGUGUAGGGGUGAAAUCUGUAGAUAUCGAGAGGAACACCGGUGGCGAAGGCGGCUUCCUGGCCCGUACCUGACGCUGAGGCGCGAAAGCGUGGGGAGCAAAC